GGUUAAUCCUGGAAAUGAAAGUAUUGCCAUUCCUGCAGAACAAUGUUUUCAGUUGCAGUGUUAAAAUGGGGCUGGAGGCAUGGCACCAAGAUCUCUCCUUAGACAUGUUGUGGUGUUGUUGCCUAUACAGUUGCUUUGAGAGACACAUUAUCAGUUGUAAUAAUGAAAAAGGGUAACCACUGGAAUUACCAUUAUAAUGCAUUGUAUAACUAGUUCAC